rnacentral:rRNA from 1 species
CCUACGAGCGGCUGCAGUGGGGAAUAUUGGACAAUGGGGGGAACCCUGAUCCAGCCAUGCCGCGUGUGUGAAGAAGGCCCUCGGGUUGUAAAGCACUUUCAGUGAGGAAGAACGCCUGGUGGUUAAUACCCAUCAGGAAAGACAUCACUCACAGAAGAAGCACCGGCUAACUCCGUGCCAGCAGCCGCGGUAAUACGGAGGGUGCGAGCGUUAAUCGGAAUUACUGGGCGUAAAGCGCGCGUAGGUGGCUUGAUAAGCCGGUUGUGAAAGCCCCGGGCUCAACCUGGGAACGGCAUCCGGAACUGUCAAGCUAGAGUGCAGGAGAGGAAGGUAGAAUUCCCGGUGUAGCGGUGAAAUGCGUAGAGAUCGGGAGGAAUACCAGUGGCGAAGGCGGCCUUCUGGACUGACACUGACACUGAGGUGCGAAAGCGUGGGUAGCAAACAGGAUUAGAUACCCGUGUAGUC